AUUGAACGCUGGCGGCAGGCCUAACACAUGCAAGUCGAACGAGUGGCGGACGGGUGAGUAAUGUUUGGGAAACUGGCUGAUGGAGGGGGAUAACUACGGGAAACGGUAGCUAAUACCGCAUACCAUCGGAUGUGCCCAAGUGGGAUUAGCUAGUAGGUGGGGUAAAGGCUCACCUAGGCGACGAUCCCUAGCUGGUCUGAGAGGAUGACCAGCCACACUGGAACUGAGACACGGUCCAGACUCCUACGGGAGGCAGCAGUGGGGAAUAUUGCACAAUGGGCGCAAGCCUGAUGCAGCCAUGCCGCGUGUAUGAAGAAGGCCUUCGGGUUGUAAAGUACUUUCAGCGGGGAAGCGUUACCCGCAGAAGAAGCACCGGCUAACUCCGUGCCAGCAGCCGCGGUAAUAC
rnacentral:rRNA from 1 species